UCACACUGAUUAGUGUACGAGGACAGGCUGAUCAGUAGGGUCAAGAGAAACCAUGGUCUUACGGGGCCUCGACGCUCAACACCAUUAGCUACCGUCAGAGGCCGAGCGAUCAGGCCACAUGCAGGCGAGGACGCAUCGCGACGUGGAGAUGCGUGGGAGAAACACAUUUUGUUGCUGUGCAAACUAAAUUCCCCAUGCCUCCUGAG
rnacentral:lncRNA from 1 species